rnacentral:rRNA from 1 species
AGUGAACGCUGGCGGUAGGCCUAACACAUGCAAGUCGAACGGCAGCACAGUAAGAGCUUGCUCUUACGGGUGGCGAGUGGCGGACGGGUGAGGAAUACAUCGGAAUCUACUUUUUCGUGGGGGAUAACGUAGGGAAACUUACGCUAAUACCGCAUACGACCUACGGGUGAAAGCAGGGGAUCUUCGGACCUUGCGCGAUUGAAUGAGCCGAUGUCGGAUUAGCUAGUUGGCGGGGUAAAGGCCCACCAAGGCGACGAUCCGUAGCUGGUCUGAGAGGAUGAUCAGCCACACUGGAACUGAGACACGGUCCAGACUCCUACGGGAGGCAGCAGUGGGGAAUAUUGGACAAUGGGCGCAAGCCUGAUCCAGCCAUACCGCGGGGGUGAAGAAGGGCUUCGGGUUGUAAAGCCCUUUUGUUGGGAAAGAAAAGCAGCAGGUUAAUACCCCGCUGUUCUGACGGUACCCAAAGAAUAAGCACCGGCUAACUUCGUGC